ensembl:lncRNA
AUAAGGGAAAAAGCGAUCUCUUCUAAGCAUGCAUUUCUCCAUUUUACUGUGAAUAAGGGAAACGAAGAAUUGCAAGGCGAUAGAGUGAUACAGAUCUGUCCUCUUUCCCUUCCUAGAUGUCCAAACAACCAAUGUUGCUGUACAAUGAGGAUGAAACACUGAUUGCUUCUGUUGAGUAAUGAAUUGGCAGUGGCUUCAAGCAACAUUCUAAGGCCUUUAUGUCUUCAGGAAAUUUCUCAGGAGGUUUUACAGCUUCACUCUUCAGGGAAUUUCAUGAUGAAAACAGGGCAUCUAGAGGACUUCCAGAUUCUGAAGUUUCCUGCAACUGAAGUUCUGAGCAGCUCUGUUUCUCCUCAGAAGAUCUGUCUGUGUGCAUAUGUCAGCCCAGAAAGAUUGUGGCCCCUCUGUCAGCCCAGGUGUUCUGCUUUGAAAAUAGUUGUUCACAAAAGUACAUACUGCCAGAAAGAGAUGACACAGAUAAGGUGUGAUGGUGAAGCGAGGGAUAUUUUUCUCAGAUGGAUUCCUCUUCUUUCCAAGAAAAUAUAUUUUAAUGUGCCAUCUUUGUCAUGAGCCAAAUCCUCUAGUCUUUACUCAGAUAAAACUUCUAAUUAGCUCUAUGUUGGUUUUGGCUAAGAAGGAUGACAAGAUUAUUCGUUCUUUGCAGUUAAAAAAAAAAAAAAAAAAAAAAAAAAAAGAUUUCUAACUUCUAAGUGAGUGGAAGAAAUUUAAUGGGUGUGGAGAGAGACCUUGAUAGAACAUGGCACAGAAAUAAAUUCAGAUUGAAAAUGAAGAUACACCUACAGUACUUCUGUCAUGUCUUAUAUCCACAUCCAGCUUACACUAGAAAGUUGAGUGUUGGCAAUUGACUAAAACUCAAGAAAAAACAGUAGGCAAUAUUGACAAUGGCUUGAGGAAAAUUCUGAUCCUUAAGAUGGUAACAUGGUAAGAAAUACUCAUAUUGAACUACAAAUAAGCUGAUUAACAACACACAGUGCAUAUAAACAAGAACAGAACUGAAAAACUGUAAAGCAGGUAUUUAGGUCUUUCACAUUAUGUGCACAAUCUCCAAUUUCUAAUUAAGAAGCUGAAAAAACAAAUGGAAAACAUGAAAAAAAAUCAAACUCGUUAUUAAACUGAGCAGUGACAUAAAGACAGCAAAUAUAAAUUUGAAUGGAAAUGAAAAAGAAUGCACUGAACUACAAAAAAAAAAAAAAAAAAACAGUCUCGGUAGUUUCUGGUGUUCUGGUUGAAGUUCUCAUGUUCCUCAUCCUUUUAACUUCUAUAAGUCUAGUUUUAAUGAUCAGGGAAAUUUGUGAAUGUAUUUUCACUGGAGUGCUUCUCCAGAAGUAAUGCAUGUGAUAUCAGAGGUGGAUGUUGGUGCUAUGGCAGUAGAGGCAGAACCUUUCCGCUAAUAUUCUGUCACAUUUUGUUGCUGUGCAGCAGAUGGCAGCAGAGGGGCAGUCUGACAAAAUGGUGUCGGACAUGGAAGUGAGUAUGAAACAAAGAUGCGUAAUUAAAUUUUUCUGUGUGCAAAAAAUGACACCCAUUGACAUUCAUCAAUGCUUUCUGAAUGUUUAUGGAGACCAAAUAGUGGAUGUGAGCACAGUGAAGUGGUGGGUGGUGCAUUUCAGAAGUGGUGACAGCAACAUGAAAGACGAGCCAUGAUCUAAAUGGUCAUGCACAACUGUUACACCAUGAAAUGAAGAGCACCUCAAUCAACUCAUCCACACGUCAUCACCUGACUGCGACCAAGGGACUGUAUGCAGAGCUAAAUAUUGGCUUCAGUAUGUUGUAAAUGUUGUUGGCAGUGUUGGAUUAUCACAAAGUUUGCACCAGGAGGGCUUCAUGAAUUCUCACACAGGAACAGAAAGGAGAUUGCAUGCAUGUUUGUCAGGACCUGUUAAACCAAUAUGAGGCUGAAGAUGACAGUUUCCUGGAUUGCACAAUUACUGGUGAUGAGAGAAGCUGGAGUCAAAAUGGCAGUCUAUGGAGUUGGUACAUGUGAAUUCCCUAUUGAAGAAAAAGUUCCAGAUGCAGUCCUCAGCAAGAAAAGUGAUGUGCAAUGACUUUUCAAAUAGGAAAGAGGUGAUGAUUCUGGAUUUCCUGGAACCUGGGCAAACCAUCUACUCUGACUCAUGCAUCAUCUCACUGACUAAGCUGAAGGCUUGAACUUGGAGAGUCAGCCCAGAGAAGAAGACAACCUUUCUCUUGCAACACAAUAAUGUGAGGCCUCAUUCUAGUUAGAAGAUGGUGGAGCACACUGUCAGUCUUGGCUGGACUGUCCUACCACACUCCCGUUAUACUCUGAAUUUGGAACCUUCUGAUUUCCAUCCAUCUGAUUCAAAGAAAGAUAGACUGAGUGGGCAACAUCUUCCUAGCAAUGACACCAUCACAACAGCUGUGAGACAGUGGGUUAGCUCCACAGAUUUUUACUAGUGCAUCAUGAAGGCCUUUUUUCACAGGCAAAAAUGCAUAGCAAACACUGGUGACUACAGUGAAAAAGAGUGUUUUGUAGCUGAGAAUUUGGUAUAUCAAAUAGUGUCAUUGUGCUUUGUAAUUGUUGUAGUUUUCAUGGAAAUCAAUGUGAGGCAUUACUUUCAGAGCUAUCAACGUAUAAUAUACAUGAAAUAGAAGACACAAAAGAAAAUGUUAUAAUGAAUUCAGAGAUGAUUAUUUAAAAUUUACGAUAACAGAAAAAAUAAUAUUGCCAUCUAUUGGUGAAAAUUGAGAACUCCAAAUAAUUCCUAAGUAUUUGCAUACCCCCAAGUAAGGUCUUGGUCUUUGUAAAAUGAUUGAUAGUUACUAUGUCAUUGCUGUUUUGAUUUACCUGACUCCAACUAGUACAGAGACUACAUAUAGUAAACUGUGAAAAAGAUUUGUGCUGCCAUAUUCUUUACUGCUAUGGCCGACAUCACCAGAAAUAGAUUCAUAUACACCUAAAAAUGGAAGAAAUAAACAAUUGUUAGCACCUGUUGUGUUAUUGUUCAAUACAUUAAAUAGCAGCACUUCUCUAUUAGUUAAUUAAAAUGGAAUUAUUGUUUUUGCAUUCACUGCCUUUUAUCUGAUUUGUCUUCUAUCACACAAAUUUUCCUUUGAUAUAUUGAGUGAGUACUCUUUCCCCACCUCUUCAUCUUGCC